AGCUCCGGUGGCCUAAUGGUUAGAGCAUCCGCCUUGGAUGCGAAGUUUGCGUGUUCGAAUCUCGACCGAGCUU